GGUCAGGGGUCACUACCCUAACCCGGCUACUACAAGAGUCUCGAUCGUCCUCCAACCUUUCAUCUGUCCCAGGAUUAAGAUUUCACCUGAUGACACGCCCAGAAGUGCGGGAAGGACUGGCCAAGUGGAAGUCUACCACGCGAUGCUCGUGGACUGACUGAGGAGUACCCAGCCCGGAGCGCGCUCAGCCUGUGGCCGGCCUCCUCACCAAGGGGUAGGCAGGUGCCCAGAAUGCUGGAGGAUGCCCGGUAAGGGCACCCGAGUCGCCAGCGGUACCUGUCUGAAGGCGCCCACCCAUCCCCGGGUACCGACCUGAGCCUCCCGUACCUUACCUCACUCAACAGCAGGCUGCAGCCGCUCCGCUUUACGGCACUCACAGCAACCGCCGCAAAAGCCGCCGUCAAGUGCUGAGCGGCGGAGGCUGGCUUGGUUCCUGCUGGGACGUUCCCACGGUCCAGCCCCAGCCUCGGCUUUCCUGUGACUCUUGUCGCAUCCUCACCGCCAGAAGUUCACUGAGCCCUGGCGAUUCCUCGCUUUUAUAAUCUAGCCACUUAGCCAAAGCCCUUUUUUAUCUCUUGCCUAAUUGACAACUACAGCAGCGCACUGAGGCAAUCUGAGAGUUUAAGUUCUGAAACGCUUUCGACAGCGGAAGAUGAACUGGAGGCAGCAGCUGAGCCGUUUUCCAAGCCCGUUAAAUGUGAACUUCUGAUAAACGAGUGGUUUUUUUAAAAUUUCCUAUGCACAUACAAGCUUACUGUUGAAGUCCUCUCAUCCAAUGCACUCAGAACGGGACUGUAAGUCCAGCUGCUGUGUAUCAUCACCUCAGCCCGAUUGGUCCUCGGCCACACUUCACUUCAGCUUCUGAUAGGUCCUGGGCCAAGCUAAGCAGCAUCUAUGAAUCAUUUCACCUCCUGACUGGUCCCGGGCCAAGCCGAGUCACGCAUUCGCCAAGACAGCCCCCAGACUAAGCACAUUCCUUCCCCUUCCGUCCAUAAAAACCUGGACCCCAGCCUCAUGAUGGGCACUCCCGUUCGGGACCCCCUCUCUGCUGGCAGAGAGCUUUCUUCUUUCACCUUAUUAAACUUUCACUCUAACCUCACCUUUGUGUCCGUGCUCCAUAAUCGUCUUGGAGGUGGGACAAGAACUCCAGGUGUUAUCUCAGACAACGAAAGACUGUUUCAAUAAUGUAGUAUAUAAGUGGACAAGAACUCCAGGUGUUAUCUCAGACAACGAAAGACUGUUUCAAUAAUAUAGUAUAUAAG
rnacentral:lncRNA from 10 species